GGAGUAUGUGUAUACGAUGAUCUUUUCUUUUGAAAGGGAUUUUGGUUUUAGAGCUGCUUAUUUUGGUUUGAGUACCACGUCUACAGAACAUGAGGAUAGUACCAAUGUUUUAAUUUUUGUUGGUUGGAAUAUUUAUAAUAAGGAUUUAUUAUGUGUCCGCACAGGACUGGAAAUGUUUUUAGGGAAAGAGACAACUCCGGGUUUCUUUAUACCUGGCAGUUUAUAUUAUGGGUGCAGAUCCUUAAUUUUUAUUUGAUGAAAGUCCUAAGUUGGAAUUGUCGAGGAAUGGGAAGCAAAUGGACUAUGAGUUAUUUGAGGGAAAUAUGGCAUAAAAAUAAACCUGAUUUUUUAUUUUUAUCAGAAACAAAGCAGGAGUUUGACUUUGUACAAAGGUUUCAACUUCAUUCGGGUUUUGAUAAUUUGGUAACGGUGGAUCCAAAUGGCAGAAGUGGGGGUUUGGCACUGUAUUAUAAUAAUGAAUUUCAAGUUCAGAUUCUAUAUACAAGUAACCGGAUGAUAGAUGUGGAAGCGGUGGCUUUGGGGAAAAGAGUAUUUAUGACAUUUGUUUAUGGAGAUCCGGUUCAACAAAUGAGGGAUCUGGUUUGGGAACGGUUAACUAGGUAUGGGCUUGCAAGGGAUGAACCUUGGUUUAUUAUUGGUGAUUUAAAUGAAAUUACCGGAAAUCAUGAAAAAGAUGGAGGAGCCCUGCGAAGUGCGGACUCUUUUGUUUCUUUUAAUGAUAUGAUUCGAAAUAGUGGUUUACUGGAAUUUCCGGCUCGUGGUAACAAAAUGUCAUGGCAGGGUCGUAGAGGAAAAGGAAAAGGGGCGUUCACAGUUAGAUGUCGUUUAGACCGUGCAUUGGCAAAUGAGGAGUGGCAUACUCUUUUCCCUUGUUCUUAUACAGAAUAUUUAGGGAUGGUGGCGUCCGAUCAUCGACCAGUGGUAGCGUUUUUAGAGGAUAAAAUUUCCAGGAGGAAAGGACAAUUUCGUUUUGAUAAGAGAUGGGUUGGACAGGAAGGUCUUAUGGAAACAAUUUCAAUGGGCUGGUCCGAUCAGAGUGUAGAAAAGAAGGAUGAUAUAGUGACAAAAAUUGGGAAUUGUCGACAUGAAAUUGCGAAAUGGCGAAAAAUAAUCCACCUUACGGAAAGGAAAAAAUAAGUGAGUUACAGAAAGCCCUCGAAGAAGUACAAUCAGAUGAUACAAGAUCGCAGGAGGAUAUAGUGGAGGUGUCUAGGAAAUUACAAGAGGCAUAUAAGGACGAAGAAGAAUAUUGGCAGCAGAAAAGUAGGAAUAUGUGGUACUCUUCUGGGGAUCUUAACACUAAAUUUUAUCAUGCUUUAACUAAGCAAAGAAGAGCUCGAAAUAGGAUCGUUGGGUUGCAUGAUGCUGUGGGAAAUUGGAUUACAGAAGACAAUAUGAUGGAGAAAGUGGCUGUAGAUUAUUUCCAAGAUUUGUUUACUACCACUUCACCUUCAGAUUUUGAUGCUUUUCUUGCGGAGGUAACAAUGGGAAUAACUCCUCAGAUGAACCUACGUUUGCUGAGGCUAACGACUGAGAAUGAGGUUAGAGAGGCUUUAUUUAUGAUGCAUCCUGAAAAGGCACCAGGACCGGAUGGCAUGACGGCUCUCUUUUUUCAACAUUCUUGGCAUAUUAUAAAGAAGGAUCUGGUUGAAAUGGUAAACAAUUUUUUGGUUUCUGGAGAAAUAGAUCCAAGGUUAAAUAUUACUAAUAUAUGUAUGAUUCCAAAGACAGAGAGGCCAACUAGGAUGACGGAACUGAGACCAAUUAGUCUAUGUAAUGUUGGGUAUAAAAUUAUUUCGAAGGUUUUGUGCCAGCGUUUGAAAGGGUGUCUUACGUCCCUUAUUUCAGAGACUCAAUCGGCUUUCGUGCCGGGGAGGUUGAUAACUGAUAACAUUCUUAUUGCUCAGGAGAUGUUUCACGGGUUACGGACUAAUAAGGCAUGUCAAGGAAAGUACAUGGCAAUUAAAACGGAUAUGAGCAAGGCGUAUGAUCGAGUCGAAUGGGAUUUUAUUCAGGCUUUACUGGAAAAAAUGGGAUUUGAUCUUCACUGGAUUAAGUUAAUGAUGGAAUGUAUAUCAUCGGUUCAAUAUAAAGUUUUACUGAAUGGCCAACCAAGGGGUCUCAUUAUUCCACAGCGUGGAUUACGACAAGGAGAUCCUUUAUCACCUUAUCUUUUUAUAUUGUGCACUGAGGCUUUGAUUACAAAUAUUAAAAAGGCGGAGAGAGAAAAACAGUUGACAGGUAUGAAGGUAGCCAGGGCAUGUCCAUCCAUUUCUCACUUGCUUUUCGCGGAUGACAGCCUUUUCUUUUGUAAAGCACAAAGAGAGGAAUGUCAAUCUAUUCUCCGGAUUUUAAAGGAAUAUGAGAUGGUUUCAGGUCAGCUUAUUAAUUUUGAUAAGUCUUCAAUCCAAUUUGGGCACAAGAUUGAAGAAUCAGUCAGACAGGAAUUAAGAGAUAUUUUGGGUAUUCAGAAUCUUGGAGGAAUGGGAACUUAUCUUGGAUUACCGGAAAAUCUUGGGGGCUCAAAGAUUCAAGUUUUCGGUUUUGUGCAACAUAGACUUAAUAGAAGGGUUAAUGGGUGGACUUUCAAAUUUUUCACGAAGGGUGGAAAAGAAGUGGUUAUUAAAUCAGUAGUUACGGCAUUGCCAAAUCAUGUGAUGUCUUGCUAUAGAUUACCGAAAGCAACCGCGAAAAAAUUGACAAAUGCGGUAGCACGUUUUUGGUGGAGUCCAGGUGGAAGUACAAGAGGAAUGCAUUGGAAAUCUUGGGAUAAGGUAUGUGUUAGCAAGGAGGAAGGAGGUUUGGGUUUUAAAGACAUCACUGAUUUCAAUACAGCGAUGCUUGGUAAACAGUUAUGGCGUCUGAUUGAGAAGCCGAAUACUUUAUUCUCUCGUGUCUUCAAAGGUCGGUAUUACAGGAAUGCAUCACCCCUGGAACCGAUCCGUUCAUACUCUCCGUCAUAUGGCUGGCGGAGCAUCACAUCUGCUAGAUCUCUGGUUAGCAAAGGACUAAUUAAACGGGUGGGAUCAGGAUCAUCCAUUUCGGUAUGGAAUGAUCCCUGGCUCCCAACCACUCGCCCGAGACCAGCAAAUAAAAACCAACACAAUUUUUACCCUGAACUCACAGUGGAUGCUCUCAUUGAUCCUCAUUCGCGAAAUUGGAAUAUGCAGGUGAUUCGGAAUCUAGUGGACCCACAGGAUGUGAAAAUUAUCGAAAGUAUACCUUUGAGUAGGAUCCAGAGGAUUGAUAGAGAUGGUUGGCAUUUCACAAACAAUGGGAAAUAUUCGGUCAAAUCAGGAUAUCAGGUAGAGCGGGUUUACCCAGAUAGAGAUAAACCACCAGAAAUGUUUGGACCUACAGUGGAUGCGUUAAAGUCAUUCUGCUGGAAGAUUCGAUGUCCACCGAAGAUGAAACAUUUUUUGUGGCAAUUGGUGACCGGUUGUAUUGCAGUCAAGAAGAAUUUACAAGCGCGAGGGAUAAAUGGUGAUUUAUGUUGUGCACGAUGUGGCGCUGAUGAGGAAUCAGUUAAUCAUGUAUUUUUUGAGUGUCCUCCAGCAUUACAGGUUUGGGCGCUAUCCAAGAUACCAUCAAAUCCCGUUAUCUUUCCAACAGGAGCUCUUUUUACAAACAUGGAUCAUCUUUUUUGGAGAAUUUCUCCGCAGCUAGAUGAUCAUCAGUUUGCAUGGAUUCUAUGGUAUAUCUGGAAAGGAAGGAAUAAUAAAGUUUUUAGUAACCUUGAUAUGGAUCCAAGGGAGACGAUUAAACUGGCAGAAACAGAGUCCACACUAUGGGCUGAGGCGCAGAUAGUGAAGGAACAGAGAGCAGGGCCACAUGUAGAGGGUUCGGCAGCACCGUUAAACCAAGGAAGAUGGUGUUUCACAGAUGGGUCCUGGAAGGAGGAUAGCGGUUUCUCUGGUCAAGGGUGGUUUAGUACUUUAGAAGGUUUUGAGGGUUUGAUGGGAGCAAGGAAUGUUAGGGCUAGUCUAUCUCCUUUACAUGCGGAGAUGGAAGCAUUACUUUGGGCAAUGGAGUGUAUGAGGAACUUACGACAAUUUCAGGUUACAUUUGCAACGGAUUGUUCUCAAUUGGUGAAGAUGGUUUCGGAACCAGAAGAAUGGCCAGCUUUUGCAAGUUAUUUAGAUGAUUUUAAAGUCCUGAAAGAGAGUUUUUCCCGCUCAGAGAUUGUCCAUGUGCCAAGAACGCAAAAUACAAAGGCGGAUAGCCUAGCACGUAGUGUCAGGAAGCAGCCGUCUUUCGUCGUUCACAUGGAUCGACAUCUCCCAGUUUGGUUCACAGAGUCUGUAUGAGUCUGUUUAUGCUGAUGACAAAAAAAAAAAAAAUUAUCAACUAAAUAUAUACUGUUAAGGGUAAUAGCUACUAAAAAUCGAUAGUCUCAAAAUAUAUAUACUAAAAACAAAUUCAGCAAUUCUCAAAUUUAUAUUAACACAUUUUCACAAUUUAUGCGUUACUAAAUAUUUGCAGCACACACACUACAAGAGUUUUGGAGCAGAAAAAAUUCGAAGAUAUAUCAUAUAAAUUCUCAGCCAAAAUCGAAUUUAGUUUUCCUAUUUUAAAAAUAUAUAUUAAUAAUGGGAGUUGCUUGCUUGAAUCCAAAAAGAAAAAACCAACUUUGGGAAGCAGGGAAGUGCGCUACGUGUCAGGCAGGUAUUAGGCGCUUGUCAAUUUUGUCCAGACGUCCGUGUUACGGUAAGAUUUUCUUCACAACAAGCUGCUCCACAUUCUCCCUUCCUCUCUCUCUCCUUCUCCUUCUCCUCUUGUGCUUAAAUUCUCUCUCUACGACCUGACCGUUUCUUCACUCAUCAAAUCCAAGAGAUUCUCUGGUAAAUAAAGGUGCGUGCUUGGACCUGAGGUUACUUGAGAGUAUCUUCAUUGAGUGAAAUGAUGUUGAUUCCAUUGCAACAUGGGUCUAAGGACCGUGGUCAGAGGUAUGGGAACUGAUGAUUGGGAGAUUGAUUUAAUCUAUCUCGAGAAAGAAGAAGUUUGUGUAUAUUUUGUA